rnacentral:rRNA from 1 species
GACGAACGCUGGCGGCGUGCUUAACACAUGCAAGUCGAACGGAAAGGCCCUGCUUUUGUGGGGUGCUCGAGUGGCGAACGGGUGAGUAACACGUGAGUAACCUGCCCUUGACUUUGGGAUAACUUCAGGAAACUGGGGCUAAUACCGGAUAGGAGCUCCUGCUGCAUGGUGGGGGUUGGAAAGUUUCGGCGGUUGGGGAUGGACUCGCGGCUUAUCAGCUGGUUGGGUGGGUAGUGGCUUACCAAGGCUUUGACGGGUAGCCGGGCUGAGAGGGUGACCGGCCACAUUGGGACUGAGAUACGGCCCAGACUCCUACGGGAGGCAGCAGUGGGGAAUAUUGCACAAUGGGCGGAAGCCUGAUGCAGCAACGCCGCGUGCGGGAUGACGGCCUUCGGGUUGUAAACCGCUUUCGCCUGUGACGAAGCGUGAGUGACGGUAAUGGGUAAAGAAGCACCGGCUAACUACGUG